rnacentral:rRNA from 1 species
CCCUUAGAUGUUCUGGGCUGCACGCGCGCGACAAUGACGUUUGCAACGAGAUUGCGAGGCCGUCAGGUCGAGCUGAUCUUGCAAGCUGCGUCGUGAUAGGGACAGUCGAUUGCAAUUAUUCGACUCGAACGAGGAAUUCCUUGUAAUCGCGCAUCAUCAGUGCGCGCUGAAUACGUCCCUGCCCUUUGUACACACCGCCCGUCGCUCCUACCGAUUGAGUGCUCCGGUGAACAAUUUGGACUGCUUUGAUUCGAUUAGAAUUUGAAGCGGAAAGUUUAGUGAACCUUAUCACUUAGAGGAAGGAGAAGUCGUAACA